GCAGGGUAUGUUUUGCUGUAAAU
rnacentral:miRNA from 14 species